GUGUGUGUUUACAUUUCUUCAUGUUGACAAAUUAUACAAACUAUCAAAAUUACUUUACAAUGUAUUAAAAAUAGGUAUUUACUCAAUUUAGAAGAGAAGGAUAAUACGUAUUUAAUAAAAACUAAAGCAACAUAAACACAUCGGCAAUGCCAAUUGAUUAAUAAGAUCGCAUGGACUGAAAUAAUUGGGAAAAACUUAGAAUAAACAACAUUCAAAUGCAGUAAUGUACCUUUUAUACUUCUGAAAUAAAUACAUUAGUAAGUACAGUAACUAAAGACACAUUUAAUAGAUGAUUAAUUUCACUUACACUGUAAAAAUACAUCAGCAAUCAAUAUAAAUGUUUAAUAAAAGAGAUAAGAACAAUUUUAAACAGUAAGCCAUCAGAUUGUUUGAGGAUCUUAUAUGGAAUAAAAGUAUCUGAAAUUUCUUAAAAGGUAUAGGAGAGGAAGAAAUUUUCAACAAGUAGAGAGACAGUUAAGGAAUAAAAAGCGAUUGAAGACUCCACUUAUAGUUGUGUAUGUAGGGACAUAAAACCAGUAAUAAACAAGGCAAAGUAUUUAAAUAAUGUAGUAAGAUGUAAUGAAAGGAGAAACUGGGCCGUUUCUUAUGCUACAAACAAAACAAAAGGGUAACUUACUAAGAGGAUGAUCUGAGAAACUUAUUAACAGAAGAAUUAAGAGAAAAAGACCUGUGAAUAUAUUGAAAUGGUAGAGGCAAGGAUUAAAGAGAAAACAGUAUAUGUAAUAGAAAAGUGAGAAAUUGAUGUUUUAGUUCUUAAUUUUAAGAGAUUUUAUAUAAAAAUUUAUGUAAUUAACAACAAAUUUAAUAUAAAAGGAGCAGCUUGCAUAAAUCUGUUUGGCACGCACUGAAAUAAAGUGCGAUUAUUACACUAAGUACAUAAAAAGUGAGAAAGUCCAUUUACCUUUUGGUGCUUAGUGAAGAGCAACUACACUAUACGUACUUUUAUUAUUAUACAUGGACUUAAUAAAGAACUAUUAUUAAAAUUCUAAUCUUCGUAAAAUAUUUCACAGUAUCCCUGUUCCAUAAUUUAUUUAGGUUUCCUCUUCAUAAAACGAUUAAUUAUUACAUAUAAACCAUCUGUAGAAUGUAUUAAAAUGUCUUUAAGAAAUAAACAAAAUUUAGACUGAUUAAUGGCUUAUUAUUACAACCUUACCCUAUUUGUGGCUAUAAAAAGAAAUAAAACUAAUUUGCCAGACGUAGUAGUAUAAAUCAUUUAUAUUUAAAUUUUGCCAAAGAAGUACUAAUUAUAUUAAAACUACUGGUCUCUUCAUUAAAUUUACAUCUAGAAAAAUAAAUACAUUUCACAACCACAUAAGCAUUCGACUUCUAAUUUAAUAAAAAAAAAACAAUUUUGUUAUGGUUCUCACAAUGAAAGAAAAUAUAUAUAAAAAAGUGUUCGCUUUUAUUUAAUCAAAUUACCAGUUUAAAACGAAAUCAAUUUAAGUCGAUGAUAACAGCACUUAAAAAAGGAAGUACAAAGGGUAAUGGAAAUGUAACAACGUCCCUUAAAAAAAAAA